rnacentral:lncRNA from 1 species
CUGUGGUACUUGAUUGCCCUGGUGGUGUUUACCUCACAAAUGCUGCCUAAUUCAGGCCAGAGGGAAGGCAGAGCCAGUGAAAAGAGCUCCACGGGGUAGAAGAGGGUGGACCCAGGAAGAGAUGGCCUCCCCCUGUCCCUGACUCAACUGGAGCUCAGUUCACUCUGCUUUGAAGGAGUAGGAGGAGAACACUACUCACAAAAAGGAGGGCAAGAACCGGCUUGUUCACCAUUGUAUUCCUGCAUCACAGCAUAAGCACUCAAUCAUUAUGGGUUAAAGGCUGAAAUUCAAAAAGAGAAAGGGAGAUGUUAAACACCUACUGACCAAGGAGGUGCCCUCCAUCCUGUUUAACCACCGCCCAGGCCAGUCAUUUCUCUCCCUGGAAGACUUUGAGUCAUUCACGUACAAGGAAAAUUAGAGACAGGCUUUCACCAUGUUGGUCUCAAACUCCUGACCUCAAGUGAUCCACCUGCCUCAGCCUCCCAAAGUGCUGGGAUUACAGACGUGAGCCACUGCCACCCAGCCGAAUAAAGGACAAGAGUAGCAAAGAGGAUUAUGAGCAGUGCAAUACAAAACAAGGCUGCAACAAAAG